rnacentral:rRNA from 1 species
UACGUAGGGAGCAAGCGUUGUCCGGAAUCAUUGGGCGUAAAGCGCGUGUAGGCGGCUUGGUAAGUCUGCUCUGAAAGCCCGGGGCUCAACCCCGGGAGGCGGGUGGAUACUGCUGAGCUCGAGUCCGGAAGAGGCGAGUGGAAUUCCUGGUGUAGCGGUGAAAUGCGCAGAUAUCAGGAGGAACACCAAUGGCGAAGGCAGCUCGCUGGGACGGUACUGACGCUGAGACGCGAAAGCGUGGGGAACAAACAGG